CGACACUUAUAUGAUCUUUUUGAGUUGCUAGCGCCCUAAAACCCUUACUAAUACCCCCAAAAAUUGAUCAUUAAGGAUGCCUUUCCUCGUAUUUCGUUCACAGUGCGGCCGAAUCUCUACGAUAGUCGUGGAUGCUGUGCUGGGAGGUGCAACGAUUGUGUUACAGCCUGCCUCCAUUUGUGGGCUGAUUGGCGUUUGCGACGCGGACCUAGUCCCCGUGCACUACAACGUGACCUACCCAGACCCACCCAAGAGGAACACAGUCCUCCGCUUCUCUCCUGAGAACUGAGACAGACACGUCAAGAGCUGGCAGGUCGUGUCCGCCCACACCGCACACCAACCCGAGAACCUACUGGGCCAUUCGUUGUCUUGAGUCCAACUUUUUCGGUCGUUACAUCAAUCUAUCGUCACCUCAUGAAGUCUAAAUUGUUGGCCGGCUGUUCAAAAGCAUCUAGCCCAAAUAUUUUUUUCUUUUAUGUACAUCUUUCUUUAUUUUUCUUUAAAUUAAAAUUUCUUUAAUUGAGGUAUUUGUUACAUUGUGUGCUCGUGAAAUAUUUUGUCGAAAUUAAAUUCUAAAUGUAAAAAAAAAAGCGUUUCGUUUCUGUUUGCUGGUUUUUUUUGGUCGUUUUUUUUCUGUUCUGUUUGAUUUUUUUGUUUUGGGGUUGUUUUUCUCUUGAAAAAAAUAUUGCUUCCUGGGCUUAAAACAUUUGAGCAGCUCGCCGACGAGGCCUAGAUGACGGAAAGGCAAAUGGAAGAUCCCCUGUUAGAUCCAUGCAAACCUGCUCGUUGUUCAUCUGUCAAAGGGUUUUCCAUAAUGUGUUUAUGUCAGAAUUUAGAGUACCACGUAAUGAUUCACAAUAAACGCCUUUGACUGUUGAUA